AACACAUGAUGACACACUGUUUCGGUCCCAUAUGAUAACAUGAUUACUGCACAUUGAGAUCAGCUGAUGUU